AAAGCGUGCGCAGGCGGUUUUGUAAGACUGUCGUGAAAUCCCCUGGCUCAACCUGGGAAUGGCGAUGGUGACUGCAAGGCUAGAGUUUGGCAGAGGGGGGUAGAAUUCCACGUGUAGCAGUGAAAUGCGUAGAUAUGUGGAGGAACACCGAUGGCGAAGGCAGCCCCCUGGGUCAAAACUGACGCUCAUGCACGAAAGCGUGGGGAGCAAACAGGAUUAGAUACCCGUGU
rnacentral:rRNA from 1 species